GUUAUCAAGAGAAAAACAGUCUUAGAUGCAACAUAAAAAUUUCAGAGACAGAAGAAAUCUUCCUUUGAGGGCAGGAUUGAAAUGCUGUUUUUCUUCCCUGGUACAAUGUUAAAGCUUUAAACUCUUGUCAAUGAUGUGAUGUUUCAUCUGCAAUGAUCUACACUAGAAAAAUAAAAAUGUAGUUACUGACAAAAAAGCAGGAACUACUGCUCUAAGGAAAAAAGGACAGCUACAUGAGGACCACACAACUCCUGGAAGAGGUUUCCCUGGCAACACAACUUUUCCAUUCAUCUGGUUGCAGUGUUUUCAUCCAGUAGCCUGUCACCUCACUCAAAAGCAGGGCAAUGGAGAGAAAGAAACUUACCAAGUUUUUUCUUUUAACUAGAGAGUAGCCUACUUAUUGGGCCCUGCAAUUAAUUUCAGUACUCCAGGCAGAUUUAUAAAGGAAGCUGCUGGAAGGAAUUCAUUCCCUUUUUGCUGUUCUGCCUUCCACCUUCCACUGUGUGAGGACACUGCAAGAAAGCCCUCAUCAGACACCAACUGCCAGCACCUAGAUCUUGGAAUUCUCAGCCUCCAGAACUGUGAGAAACACGUUUCUGUUUUUCUAUAAAAUAAUAAUAAUAAAAAACUUCCAUGCAGGAAAAAAAAUCAAGUUCAAAGGUCCUGUGGUGAGGGCAUACCAGCUUUGUUUGAGAAGCAGUAAUCAUGCCUGUGUGACUGUAAUGAAAGAAUAAAAGAGAAA
rnacentral:lncRNA from 1 species